GGGCAGGUGGCUCAGUGGUAGAGUGCUCGCCUUGCAUGCAUGAGGCCCUGGGUUCGAUUCCUCAGCACCCCA
rfam:Dipodomys ordii contig_47162, whole genome shotgun sequence.